rfam:Clostridium tetanomorphum DSM 665 contig158, whole genome shotgun sequence.
UUAAAUUCUUUGAAGGGAAGAGUAGAUAUUUACUAAGUAUCCAAAGCGAGUAGGGAUGGUGUAAGCCUAUGAGAAAAGUAGUAUUGAAAGACAUCCUGGAGAUACUUAUCUGAAAAUUGUAUUAGGAUAAGUCGGGUUUCCUCCGUUAUAGGGACUAGAGAUAAUAAUGUAUUAAUAUGUUAUCAAAUUAGGAUGGUACCGUGAAGAUAUGCUUGAAAGCUUUUUUAUUCUUCUAAAAAGUUAUAUAGAAAGUAGAGCUCCUUUCUAUAUGUGAUGCCUAUCCUAACUUAUUAUGAACAUUGUUAAAAAAGGGUGGUACCGCAAAUUAUUUUGCCCCUUGA